CACAUUUUGUGCGGAUUUUAUUAUAUUAAAAGUAAUUAAGUGAACCUAUCUAUAUAUAUAUUUUUGCAGCCAUUUUGUAAAAUAAAUCCUAGAUUUGGAACUUAUUUACAAUGGCUGCCACUGGCUUUUAUUUAUUUAUUUUCUUUUAGCAAUAAAUUGAUUAACAAACAAAAAAUAUUCCAAAUAUAUUCCAAUCCCAUAUAUCACGCAGAUUUCUCCAAAAUUUGAACUAGAUUUCGGAAAUUAUUUAAAACAAAAAAUAUUUGACAAACCAAAAUACAAUUGCAAUCCCUUAAAAUGAGCAAAACGCACAUAAAUACAUUUCUUAUCAGUUCACUAAAUCUUAUUUCUCCAAAAUUUGAAUUAGAUUUCGACAACUAUUUAAAACAAAAAUUUGUUUGACAAACUAAAAUAUAAUUGCAAUCCCGUAAUUUUUUUUUUUAAAUUAGCGGUGUACUACAAAUUUUUUUAACGGGACGGGUUUGGCAGAACGGGUUUGGAAGGAUGUUACUUAAUAACAAUUGUAAACUAUAAAAUAUAAAUAUUUUAUAGAUAAAUAUAAUUUACAGACUUUUAUAUAUACUAAUUUUAAAAAAUAAUUGUCUCCGCGGUGUACCGCGGGUUAUAAUCUAGUUGUUUAUACAAAAAGAAAAAAUAUUUUCAUUCCACAUUUUCU
rnacentral:sRNA from 1 species